GGAAGCAGGCGUUCGGCCAAGACAGCACUUCCAGAGUGUGGACCGAAUCUGUGUCUGUUGUAAAAGGUGUCUCAACUCAUUCCUUUAAAGAUCAAAUGAAGGCUCCAUUUGCGAGUGAACAGAAUGCCACGGUGCCCUCUCUUCCUCUGUCAAACCCAUCUUACACAAAGAAAAGCCAGGAAAAAACGCAGCUGAUCCACAGCCAGGGUGAGGCUGUCUUAAGUCAGAGAUGUUACCAGCAUCCUCAUUUCAGAUCACAACAUGAUGUUCUCUCUUGUUCCAUACAGAUGUCCAAUCUCUCCAGGAACCUGGUCUGUCCGCACACAUCAGUAUCCCACAGCUAGCAGAGGAGGACUGGUCCAGACUAGUAGCGCUAUCUCCUCUCUUCCAGCUGAUGAAGGAAGUGGAGCAGCAGCUCAGGGAUAGUGCCAGAGACAGAGGCCUUCUCAAGAUCCAGCCCUCGGGUCAGGCUCUAAUUAUCACCACUGAAACGUGCAAUCUGGACUCGUCAGAUCUGCAAAGUCAUUAGUGUAGCAACAGAUGACUUAAAGCCAUGAGAACCAUCACGUACAUAGUGAUCAAAGUGAGACACAUGACACAAAUGGUGUGUUGGUACAAGCAUUCAAGUGCAGGCCGGUCAUUCGUGGAUUUCAUGGAUGCCCAGUGGGAGUGUGAGGGAGAGCUGAUUCAAGUGAGCUCUGAAACACUCGAUCCACGACAGCUUCUGCUCUACCAGCAUGGACAGUUUCUCCUCCAGCAUCUUUGCUUACAUAAAAUGAUACCAGCAGUAACCCUUCAACUGGCUUCUACUCUUCCAUUCAACGACUACCCUAACAAUGCUUUCCGCAACUCUUUCUAUUAUCAGGAGGGACAGAAGACCCUGUUUGUUCGCUGUCAGAGGUUGCAGUCAGUGGGUGGCCUCUCUCUGCUGCUUAUGCACUGUGCUGCACACAUUUCCACCAGUCAGAUGAGGCCAGGCUCCACUCCCACCUUCCAAAGGGCCUUUUUCAAGGUUUUACAGUUGGGCCUAAGUGAGCUGUUCCAUGCCAGACUGGGACAAACUGAUGAUGAGAGGACAAAAGAUUUGGCGUCUGACGGAGCUCUCAACGGUCUUCUGCUGGAAAGAGUGCAGAAACCAAGUCCUGGGGUUUUCUCCGAGGAUGAUGUUUUGGGAUGUCUGCGCAAAUACAGAGAGGCUUCAGUGUUCCGCCAGGUCGAGAGUCUCCUAAAAGUGUCUCCUAAGAGCCUGGAGAUCAAGCACCUCAACACUGACCCGUCACUCAGCGAUGGCCCAGACAGCCAAGAUGCCGCUCCUCCAUGAACUGACAAUUUAACUUUGAACAGUGCUGCCUUUCUGACAGUGAUAAAUCCAGCUUUCAAAGGCAUGUUAUGUGCUGUGAGGCAGCGGAUGGCCUUAUCGUCUUGGAUGGUAACAGUUCCUGGACUGGGUUAGAGCAUCUAGUUUUGCUUCCGGUGAUGACCCAGCACAGCUAGAUAUCUACUUUCUUGUACAAAAAAAAAAAAGGGCAUUAAGAAAACACAUUAUAAGGGUCAUAAAACUGCAUAGGUCCAACAAGCAGGCCUCUGUUUAAUGCAGUUUUAAUGUAAUUUUGGAGGAUAAGGGCAUGUUACAGAAUUUGACCAUGUUGGUAUCUACCUAAUCUGACUAGCUUCCACCAAAUGACAAAUUUGCACCAGAAUAGUUAUGCCGGUGAACGUCUUAACCUCAGUCAAUAAGUAAAAAACUGACAGAGCUUUCUAACGCUGCAUUAAUGGCGCAUAUUCUCUAAGAUUAUGAGAGACGAAUCUACUUCAACAUAUGCUGAUAACGGUAUAUAACGGUCUUAAAUUAUUCCCUGAAUAUUUCUCUUGUGGCCCGUAUAUAUUGAAAAACAUGAGAAGAAACGUACUAUUUUGCGUUAAACAUGCUGUUCUUGAAAAUCGGUGCAUGAAACAGCUGCUCUUAAUUUUCAAUGAUGACAGCAGUGUUAAUCAUUUUAAUUAUAGGCCUGUUAAGUCCUCUUAAUAUUGCCAAUAUUUGAUGCUUUUGACAAUAUCUCUGGCAAUAGUUGACACAUGAUACGCCGCAACUCAGCACAGGGAGGUUAUCGUGAAUUAAAUCUUAAAAAUGUCUAAAUAUUUAAUGCAUUAUUACCAUUAAAAUGAACUUAAUUUAGUAUUUAAAUAGUUAAGUAUUUAAAUAAUUAACCCUUCUGCUGUUGGUGUCUGGGCUUAUUUGUUUACUUAUUUUUUAAAUGACAUGAGACUUUAAACUUUGACCUCCUGCUCUGGCUAUAUUUCAUAGUCAUUUUGUAAUAAAUCCAAAAGCAAGUCGUGAGAAAAAAAAAAAAAAGGGGAGUGGAAAUGGCAACAGAGCUAAUGAGUGAUCAUCUGCUGCCAUCAACUGGAUAUUAAAGGUAAUUUCAUGUCAUUUUCAUCAGUCUUUGUUGCCUUUCUGACAGUGAUAAAUCCAGCUUUCAAAGGCAUGUUAUGUGCUGUGAGGCAGCGGAUGGCCUUAUCGUCUUGGAUGGUAACAGUUCCUGGACUGGGUUAGAGCAUCUAGUUUUGCUUCCGGUGAUGACCCAGCACAGCUAGAUAUCUACUUUCUUGUACAAAAAAAAAAAAGGGCAUUAAGAAAACACAUUAUAAGGGUCAUAAAACUGCAUAGGUCCAACAAGCAGGCCUCUGUUUAAUGCAGUUUUAAUGUAAUUUUGGAGGAUAAGGGCAUGUUACAGAAUUUGACCAUGUUGGUAUCUACCUAAUCUGACUAGCUUCCACCAAAUGACAAAUUUGCACCAGAAUAGUUAUGCCGGUGAACGUCUUAACCUCAGUCAAUAAGUAAAAAACUGACAGAGCUUUCUAACGCUGCAUUAAUGGCGCAUAUUCUCUAAGAUUAUGAGAGACGAAUCUACUUCAACAUAUGCUGAUAACGGUAUAUAACGGUCUUAAAUUAUUCCCUGAAUAUUUCUCUUGUGGCCCGUAUAUAUUGAAAAACAUGAGAAGAAACGUACUAUUUUGCGUUAAACAUGCUGUUCUUGAAAAUCGGUGCAUGAAACAGCUGCUCUUAAUUUUCAAUGAUGACAGCAGUGUUAAUCAUUUUAAUUAUAGGCCUGUUAAGUCCUCUUAAUAUUGCCAAUAUUUGAUGCUUUUGACAAUAUCUCUGGCAAUAGUUGACACAUGAUACGCCGCAACUCAGCACAGGGAGGUUAUCGUGAAUUAAAUCUUAAAAAUGUCUAAAUAUUUAAUGCAUUAUUACCAUUAAAAUGAACUUAAUUUAGUAUUUAAAUAGUUAAGUAUUUAAAUAAUUAACCCUUCUGCUGUUGGUGUCUGGGCUUAUUUGUUUACUUAUUUUUUAAAUGACAUGAGACUUUAAACUUUGACCUCCUGCUCUGGCUAUAUUUCAUAGUCAUUUUGUAAUAAAUCCAAAAGCAAGUCGUGAGAAAAAAAAAAAAAAGGGGAGUGGAAAUGGCAACAGAGCUAAUGAGUGAUCAUCUGCUGCCAUCAACUGGAUAUUAAAGGUAAUUUCAUGUCAUUUUCAUCAGUCUUUGUUUUCCACCAGGAGACAAAUUUAUUUAAUCUCAUCUUCAUGAAUGAAAUGUGAAUCUUUAAAGUGAAUUUUACUGCACAACUAUAGAGUUAAAAAAAAUAAUAAACAGUGUAAAGUAUUAUGUGUUUAAAAAAUUUGUUUAAAUUGGGGGAGAUGUCUUUCCCCCAAUUUAUUUUUGUCACUUUUUUCACCCAUGAUGGGUUUGCUUUGCAUCCCUGAUGACUUUCUUCUUUCAGACGAAUUCAGUCAGAGUUAUAUUAAAAAUGUGCUGGCUCUUCCAAGCUUUAUAAUGGCAGUGAAUGGGUGUUGAGAUUUUGAAGUCCAAUAAAGUGCAUCCAUCAUAAAAUGUGCUCAACACAGCUCCAGAGGGUUAAUAAAGGCCUUCUAAAGUGAAGUGAUGUGUUUGUGUAAGAAAAAUGUUCAUAUUUAAAACGUUAUAAACCGUAAUUUCUAGCUUCCGCUAACUGUUGUAUGUGCAUUCACGAGAGAGUGACGUUCCAGCGGACGCUCCGGUCGCGAGAACCAAGUUUUGUUUACAGCAAAGGCAAACCAGUCUCCUCUUGGCUUAUAUCGAAAUCCUCCAACAUUCUUCUUUACAAUCUUCGCUUUGUACUUCUAAUUCGUGGUUUUUUGUUUUGCUCUCUCUGCUGCACUCACAUGUUCGUUACUUCUCACCGGAGCUUAUGCUACACAUACGUCCUACAUCAUCUACUGGAACGACACUCUCAUGAGCGUGCGUACAAAAGUUAGUGGAAGCUAGAGAUUAUGGUUCAUACAGUUUUAAAUAUAGAUAUUUUUCUUACACAAACACAUCAAUUCGCUUCAGAAGGUCUUUAUUAACCCCCCGGAGCCACGUGGAGUACUUAUGAUGAAUGGAUGCACUUUAUUUUGCUUCAGGACCACCAUUCAUUGCCAUUAUAAAGCUUGGAAGAGCCAGGAUAUUUUUUAUAAUAUAACUGAUUGUAUUUGUCUGAAAGAAAAAAGUCAUAUAGACCUAGAAUGGCUUGAGGGUGAGUAAACCAUGGGGUAAUUUUCAUUUUUGGGUGAACUAUCCCUUUAAAUUUAUUAAUUAAUUUAUUUACUAUAAAUUUAUGAUUAUAAAUUUGCUCAAGUAGCAAAAGAAAAAAUCCAAGAUAGCGUUUCCACGCCAUUCCCAAAGAAGAGAGAAAGAUGUAAAAUUUACAGUUCCUGUCAGCCGUUGUAUUAGAAACAGCAGCAGUUAACUAGUUUUGUUGUAAUUUAAUGCCAGGGUAAUGUUAUAAAUGUAUCUUUACAUUUUGUAAAUGUGAACAUAUAUAUAAUAAAACCUUGCUAGAUUUACGAAGUUAAUAACUGUGGAAAUUCUGUGAAAUGGGACCAUGUAAUCAAUGAUUUAUUGCAUUUAAUUUAUUUGUGUUUAGAUGUAGAACCAUCAUUUCCUGCUGUCCAUGACCAUCUCAACACAGACCUCUUGACCAAUUUUAGGGUCAUGACCCAGUAGUUAAGACUUAUGGUAUUCGAUUAUGACUAAAAUAAAAAGAAAGACAAGCAUUUACGGAAUAUAUAGUGAAAUAAUGGCCUGAACUUUGAUUUUAAAAUAGAUUUAACAGCAAAAUGCUCAGUGCAGAAUUCUAGUGAUGAUGUUUUAAAGCAGCAACACAUAAACCAUCUCUGCCUUGUUUUGUAUACUAUAAAGCAGUACAAGACAGUCCAUCUACACUUCUUGGGUGUCUGAGUGCAACUUUAACAAUCUUGCUUAUCAAAUACUUAUACGCAUAUAUGCCAUUGUACUCAUUGUAUUGUUUUGCACUGUCUUGUUUGAUUGCAUUUAUGUAUAUAUUCAUAUAAAUUAUGUACUAUAAUUUAAAAACUAUAAAUUUAAAUUUAUAUAACUAUAAUCAAACUAUAAAUUUAUAGUGGUGUUUUUCUGAUAUUCACAUUUGAUGCAGCUGCUUUUUCGUGCCUGAAUGUACCUCUAGGGAUCAAUAAAGUAUGUUUAUCUGGAGUAACAACAAGCGAAGGAAAGGAACAAUAAAACAUUUUUAUCUAAGUAAGUUAUGCCUGCUUUUGGAUUACAUCUCAGACGUUGUUCAUAUUCAUGAAUAAACUGGAGCACCUUAAUUUCCCC
ensembl:lncRNA